ACAUGCAAGUCGAGGGGUAACAGGGUAGCAAUACCGCUGACGACCGGCGCACGGGUGAGUAACGCGUAUGCAACCUGCCUAGUAACUGGGGAAUAGCUCCCUGAAAGGGGAAUUAACACCGCAUAACACUAUUGAUUCGCAUGGAUUGGUAGUUAAAUGUAGCGAUACAGGUUAUAGAUGGGCAUGCGUGACAUUAGCUAGUUGGUGAGGUAACGGCUCACCAAGGCUACGAUGUCUAGGGGUUCUGAGAGGAAGGUCCCCCACACUGGUACUGAGACACGGACCAGACUCCUACGGGAGGCAGCAGUGAGGAAUAUUGGUCAAUGGGCGCAAGCCUGAACCAGCCAUGUCGCGUGCAGGAAGACUGCCCCCUAUGGGUUGUAAACUGCUUUUAUAGUAGAAGAAACACAUCUACGCGUAGAUGUCUGCCAGUAUACUAUGAAUAAGCAUCGGCUAACUCCGUGCCAGCAGCUGC
rnacentral:rRNA from 1 species